AGAAGUCUUAGCGAAGGAGAGCUU
rnacentral:miRNA from 1 species